GGGCUGGGGGACAAGGUGAGCAGAUGCUUGCAGCCUUCUGAAGUGGUGUGGUGUGGCUGUGUGUGGGUUGAAGCCUUCUGGAAUUCCAUGGUGAUCCUGUGUGUGUUGUGGCCAUCUCAACUGUGCCGUGUGCCACCACUGACCAGCUGGGAAUACUGGGAAGCCAAAUCACCCUUUCCACCCUUGGCUGCUGUGGUUACCAGACAUCUAUUUUAAGGUACAGAUAUUGCUCAGAUGCUGUCUCUGACUGGACCUUGGUGCAGGCACAGUUUGUGGUAACUGGGGGUGAGGCUGCAGCUGAGCCUCAUCCCCAAUGGGCUACAGCUGUGAGGAGCAGCAGCUCAUUUGACACUGGUCGCCUGACCUCUGCUACCAUAAUAGCUGUUAAUGGAAACUUCACCUCAUGCAACGAUAAGAUGGCUUUUUGGCAGCUGUGAGAGAUUAUGAAGAGUAAGAACAAUCUUAGCUGGAAUCAGAAGAAAAGAAAGCAUCUGUACCUUGAGAAACACUCAGCUGGUUUUCAUUACACACCAAGCCUGUAUUUAUUACAAAGACUAGCCAAGAGACAGAAAAUGAUCGGUCUCUGCACUCGGGCAGGGAGACUGUGUUGGCUUGAUAAAUUCUUCCUUUCUUCUCACUUGUGGAACUACAAGUGACCAGAGCUGUUCAAAACUACUGGCUUUCUGUCUCACAGGCCAUCUUCUGAGGCUGCUCUUCAUCGCAGUUUUCUUUCAGUGUUGCCCUCUCAUCUCCAGCUGAGAUUUUUUUUGUCCCUUCUAAAAUGGAAAGCAAAGGAGGUGAGGAGAAACAAGGGGAGGAAAAGUUACGUCUUUCUUUAUACAGGAGUUUUACUACAGCAGAUGUCAAAUAAAUGAAUAAUUCCUUUAAGGUCUUUGUCACUAGAAAUCUCUUUUCCUAAGCAUGAGUAUAUGGUGAGAAGCAUCGGCUACAGAGCUCAAUUAAAAUUCAGAAUUUGAAAGCUCAGUCAUUAAAGUGAAAAGCAGAAAACCUCUGUUACAGAGAGAGUUUGGUAAAAAAACAGUUAGUGAAUAUAAGAAAAAAAUAUAUUUAUUUUUCUGUCUUCUGUCCAAGCCUGGAAAACACCAGAUUGAGCUGAGCUGUCACUAAAGAUUAGGAGACAACAGCUACCAACCACAAAACAUUUGGAUUUGUCACUAAAGGCACUGUGAAGGGAGCCAAGUGAGUCGAGUAAACAGAAUGCUGUGGCAGAAAACUUUGAUUUAGUUAUAACUGGGUAAACAUGGGGCUUAACUUCUGUAAACAUGUGUGGAGUUUUGCCACAGACCCUUUACAUCUGAAGUGAGAAUUAAAUUAUACAAGGCAGAGGGGAAGGCCUUUCAGAAUCCUUUUUUUUUUAAUGCUGAAAUUAAUUUGUAAAUUACAAGGGUGGGAGACAGGAGUUGUCUUUUUAGCCCUUCCAAAAAGGAUGAGAGUUAGAGGCUUCCACUACUUGUUUGAUCUCUUGCAGCUGCUCCUGGAGAAGCUUGUUCCCUUGAGAUGGUGGAUGUAGUAGUAUUUUCUACAUUCUUCUGUAAAAACCUGGAAAGAAAGCACAGCACACAACAUGCCUGCCACCAUCACAA